rnacentral:lncRNA from 1 species
UUGGCCUAUUGGUGGUAGUGAUGGUGAUGGUAGUGUUGGUGUUGGUGUUGGAGUGUGUGUGUGUGUGUGUGUGAGAGAGAGAGAGAGUGGAGGCAGGGGAGGGAGAGAGAGAGAGUGAUGGUGUUACAGUAGAGGGGCAAGAAAUUCAAGAAGUAUGAGACUUGAAAGGAGAACAAGUUUUAUGUAAAUGGUGAUAGAGAGACACCACAGACAAAUUUUGUCUGCUUCAUAAUUUUACCCAUAACCUACCUAGGAGGAAAAUCAGUUCAAUUUUGGAAUGCAAUGGAAGUUUUUCCUUCAUAAAGUUCAUAUCUAUCAAGAAGAAUCAGCAAAAAAAAAAAGAGAUGAAAAAUGCAAUAAUUAAGUUAAUUCAUUUUCAGAGAUAAGGAAAAGGAAACCCAUGGAGGCUGUCAAUAAUUACUCAAGAUACCUGAUGAAAUAGUGAGAAGUUGACAAAAAUGUUACUGAUGAGGAUGGAGCUGA